rnacentral:lncRNA from 1 species
AUUUUAAGUUGUUUUAGGUUUCGUUGUGUUAAUUUUCUCUUCUAUGCUUGAUUUAUGCUUUGCAUGAUUUAUAUUUGUUUAUACAUUGAGGACAAUGCAUGAAUUAAGUAUGGGGGAAGGGUUAUUGCUUUAUUGUGUUUUUAGUAGUUAGUAUAUAAAGAAAAAAAAAAUAGUUGAUGUUGGAUUGUGUUUUUUGUGUUUUUAAUUGAUGUUGUGAUACACUAAGGUAUAUUGGAUUAAACAUAGUCUUGAAAAAGGGUAGCUGUUUCAGUCCCAUUGCACAUCGAGACUCCCUGUUCCCGUACCUAAGUGUUGAAAUUAAAUUAAAUUGUUGAAAAAAAAAAAAAAAAUUUGGUUACUUUUGUUUUUGUUUUUGAGUCUUAGAAUGCCCUUUCAACUGUCUAGGAUGAUUCUAUAUCUCUGAAAUCAUGAUUAAAAGAGGAUCAUAAAAUUGAGAUGAUUUUUAAAAUGGUAUUCUUUGGUUAAUUGAGAUAUAUGAAAAAUGCAUGCAUGUGUAGUGGAUAUGGAUUUCGUAACCUUGGUACAGAAUAUGAGCAUGUUAGGAUAAGUUUUGAUUCAUAAAAGCCCAUGUGAGAUAUUUGAGCCAUGUCCCUUUUUCUUGGAGUGAUAAUUGAAAAAUAUAUUCUUAAUUUCUUGGCGAUAUUAAGUUUGAUGGACUAGAGAAUGCUAGAAUUCGCUCUUAUGCUUGUUGAGACUUUUGUCAAUACAUGGCCCUGAUUCUGGAAGGGAUAGAGGCAACCUAGGAAUUACCACCAUUGCCAAAUAAGCAUGUGUCCCUAUUUGUGCCCGUCGUGGGACCCCCCUAGAUAAGCCCCUUUGAGCCUACAUUAUGCCUUUUCAUUCAUCACCCUUAAAACCCUUAACCAUGAAGCUUAGUAUAGUUACAACCCUACCCGUUGUU